rnacentral:tRNA from 1 species
GCGGGUAUAGUUCAGCGGUAGAACGUGUCCUUCCCAAGGAUAAGGUACGGGUUCGACUCCCGUUACCCGCUCCA